CAUAGGUUAAUGAGGCGAACCGGGGGAACUGAAACAUCUAAGUACCCCGAGGAAAAGAAAUCAACCGAGAUUCCCCCAGUAGCGGCGAGCGAACGGGGAGCAGCCCAGAGCCUGAAUCAGUGUGUGUGUUAGUGGAAGCGUCUGGAAAGGCGCGCGAUACAGGGUGACAGCCCCGUACACAAAAAUGCACAUACUGUGAGCUCGAUGAGUAGGGCGGGACACGUGGUAUCCUGUCUGAAUAUGGGGGGACCAUCCUCCAAGGCUAAAUACUCCUGACUGACCGAUAGUGAACCAGUACCGUGAGGGAAAGGCGAAAAGAACCCCGGCGAGGGGAGUGAAAAAGAACCUGAAACCGUGUACGUACAAGCAGUGGGAGCACAGAGCAAUCUGUGUGACUGCGUACCUUUUGUAUAAUGGGUCAGC
rnacentral:rRNA from 1 species